rnacentral:misc_RNA from 1 species
GACAUCGAGCACGCCAGGUAAGUUCGCGUACUGCCACCGGCAGCGUAUCCUGUAUAAGUGUAUGGUCCGCCGUCUGAAACGCAUCACCUCGUUCAUCACGGCGUCCUGGUAAGUAAAAGUCUUGGUGGCUCGACAUGAAAAUUAUGCGACGGCCGCUGUAACGUGUACAAGUCACACCAUUCUCAUCAGAUCUGCAUCUGGACAGCAGGUUCCACACAUGACCUGUUGCGGCGCCGGGGGCGUCGGCUAGCGCUCACCCGUUCCCGUGCGCUGCGUCUCGGGCCGUCAGCGUGACGUCACGGCGUCAUCGGGCGGCGUCACUCGGUCAUCGGGCGGCGCCGAUCCGUCAGCGGGCCCGCCCCGACGGCGGCCGCCACUUCUGGUGCUGUCGCCCGUCGGGCUAGCCUU